CGGAGUGUAGCUUAAAUAAAGCAACUGCCUUACACCCAGGAGAUUCUAUUAUUAUGGACACUUCGA
rnacentral:tRNA from 1 species